AGUGAACGCUGGCGGUAGGCCUAACACAUGCAAGUCGAACGGCAGCACAGUAAGAGCUUGCUCUUACGGGUGGCGAGUGGCGGACGGGUGAGGAAUACAUCGGAAUCUACUUUUUCGUGGGGGAUAACGUAGGGAAACUUACGCUAAUACCGCAUACGACCUACGGAUGAAAGCAGGGGAUCUUCGGACCUUGCGCGAUUGAAUGAGCCGAUGUCGGAUUAGCUAGUUGGCGGGGUAAAGGCCCACCAAGGCGACGAUCCGUAGCUGGUCUGAGAGGAUGAUCAGCCACACUGGAACUGAGACACGGUCCAGACUCCUACGGGAGGCAGCAGUGGGGAAUAUUGGACAAUGGGCGCAAGCCUGAUCCAGCCAUACCGCGUGGGUGAAGAAGGCCUUCGGGUUGUAAAGCCCUUUUGUUGGGAAAGAAAAGCAGCAGGUUAAUACCCCGCUGUUCUGACGGUACCCAAAGAAUAAGCACCGGCUAACUUCAUG
rnacentral:rRNA from 1 species